CCUACGGGGGGCUGCAGUGGGGAAUAUUGGACAAUGGGGGCAACCCUGAUCCAGCCAUGCCGCGUGUGUGAAGAAGGCCCUCGGGUUGUAAAGCACUUUCAGUGAGGAAGAACGCCUGGUGGUUAAUACCCAUCAGGAAAGACAUCACUCACAGAAGAAGCACCGGCUAACUCCGUGCCAGCAGCCGCGGUAAUACGGAGGGUGCGAGCGUUAAUCGGAAUUACUGGGCGUAAAGCGCGCGUAGGUGGCUUGAUAAGCCGGUUGUGAAAGCCCCGGGCUCAACCUGGGAACGGCAUCCGGAACUGUCAAGCUAGAGUGCAGGAGAGGAAGGUAGAAUUCCCGGUGUAGCGGUGAAAUGCGUAGAGAUUGGGAGGAAUACCAGUGGCGAAGGCGGCCUUCUGGACUGACACUGACACUGAGGUGCGAAAGCGUGGGUAGCAAACAGGAUUAGAUACCCGAGUAGUC
rnacentral:rRNA from 1 species